rnacentral:rRNA from 1 species
GACGAACGCUGGCGGCGUGCUUAACACAUGCAAGUCGAACGGAAAGGCCCUGCUUUUGUGGGGUGCUCGAGUGGCGAACGGGUGAGUAACACGUGAGUAACCUGCCCUUGACUUUGGGAUAACUUCAGGAAACUGGGGCUAAUACCGGAUAGGAGCUCCUGCUGCAUGGUGGGGGUUGGAAAGUUUCGGCGGUUGGGGAUGGACUCGCGGCUUAUCAGCUUGUUGGUGGGGUAGUGGCUUACCAAGGCUUUGACGGGUAGCCGGCCUGAGAGGGUGACCGGCCACAUUGGGACUGAUAUACGGCCCAGACGCCUACGGGAGGCAGCAGUGGGGAAUAUUGCACAAUGGGCGGAAGCCUGAUGCAGCAACGCCGCGUGCGGGAUGACGGCCUUCGGGUUGUAAACCGCUUUCGCCUGUGACGAAGCGUGAGUGACGGUAAUGGGUAAAGAAGCACCGGCUAACUACGUG